GUUCAAUUAGUUUUCCAUCGAUAAUUACACGAAAAUGUACGGGCGCAUAAAUUUCAGUUUCUACAGAGAGGUCCAGACGACGGGGAGUAGGCAGAGAUUUGGGUUGCUUCAGGAGCUUUUUUCCAGGAGAUUUGCAACAUCAACAACAACAAUACCCUAUACAAACAAUCGAUACAUUGAGUCAUUGCUUGGAAAAUACAUUUGAAGUUAAAUUGAUGGAAAUUAAUGAAUCUACAUCACAUUUUGGUGGUUAAAGGAGGAGGCGGCCAGAGCGGCGGGAGUGCUAAGAUGAAAUAUUGCUAUUUGUUUUUGUUUUUACACGGUUAAAUGGAUUUUAAAUAAUUUAUUUCGAAAAUGUUUAACCUACAUUAAACGGUUGCAAUUAGUUUUGUAUGAUAUUAUUGGAAAAACAUCUAUUCCGGCUGAGUGAAUUGGGUCAAAAGGAGCUAUUAACGGAGUAUUUGCUAAUAAGCAAAUGCUUAUAAAUUACUAAAUUUGUUUAAAUUGAAGGUGAUUUCAAAAUAUUGAUUGCGGUUAAAAUUAAGUAAUGACAUGGUUGGUAACCGAAGAAUAAAAUUGCUGAUUGACAUAUUGGCAAUUCACUGAAGUAUUUGCUUAAUAAUUUUAAUAAGAGCGUUCUUAUUGGAAAAUGAGUCAAAUCUUUUUUCAAAUUGCA